AUUGAACGCUGGCGGCAUGCCUUACACAUGCAAGUCGAACGGCAGCGGGGGAGAAGCUUGCUUUUCCUGCCGGCGAGUGGCGAACGGGUGAGUAAUACAUCGGAACGUGCCCUGUAGCGGGGGAUAACUAGUCGAAAGAUUAGCUAAUACCGCAUACAACCUGAGGGUGAAAGUGGGGGACCGCAAGGCCUCAUGCUAUAGGAGCGGCCGAUGUCUGAUUAGCUAGUUGGUGGGGUAAAGGGCUACCAAGGCGACGAUCAGUAGCUGGUCUGAGAGGACGAUCAGCCACACCGGGACUGAGACACGGCCCAGACUCCUACGGGAGGCAGCAGUGGGGAAUUUUGGACAAUGGGCGAAAGCCUGAUCCAGCAAUGCCGCGUGUGUGAAGAAGGCCUUCGGGUUGUAAAGCACUUUUGUCCGGAAAGAAAUGGCUCUGGUUAAUACCUGGGGUCGAUGACGGUACCGGAAGAAUAAGGACCGGCUAACUACGUGCCAGCCGCCGCGGUAA
rnacentral:rRNA from 1 species